rnacentral:rRNA from 1 species
CCUACGGGGUGCUGCAGUGGGGAAUAUUGGACAAUGGGCGAAAGCCUGAUCCAGCCAUGCCGCGUGUGUGAAGAAGGCCUUCGGGUUGUAAAGCACUUUCAGUGGGGAAGAAAGCCUUGGGGCUAAUACCCUCGAGGAAGGACAUCACCCACAGAAGAAGCACCGGCUAACUCCGUGCCAGCAGCCGCGGUAAUACGGAGGGUGCGAGCGUUAAUCGGAAUUACUGGGCGUAAAGCGCGCGUAGGCGGUCUGAUAAGCCGGUUGUGAAAGCCCCGGGCUCAACCUGGGAACGGCAUCCGGAACUGUCAGGCUAGAGUGCAGGAGAGGAAGGUAGAAUUCCCGGUGUAGCGGUGAAAUGCGUAGAGAUCGGGAGGAAUACCAGUGGCGAAGGCGGCCUUCUGGACUGACACUGACGCUGAGGUGCGAAAGCGUGGGUAGCAAACAGGAUUAGAUACCCGUGUAGU